rnacentral:rRNA from 1 species
UACGGAGGGGGUUAGAGUUGUUCGGAAUUACUGGGCGUAAAGCGCGCGUAGGCGGUUCAGAAAGUUGGGGGUGAAAUCCCGGGGCUCAACCCCGGAAUUGCCUUCAAAACUCCUGGUCUUGAGUUCGAGAGAGGUGAGUGGAAUUCCGAGUGUAGAGGUGAAAUUCGUAGAUAUUCGGAGGAACACCAGUGGCGAAGGCGGCUCACUGGCUCGAAACUGACGCUGAGGUGCGAAAGUGUGGGGAGCAAACAGG